rnacentral:rRNA from 1 species
GACGAACGCUGGCGGCGUGCCUAAUACAUGCAAGUAGAACGCUGAAGAGAGGAGCUUGCUCUUCUUGGAUGAGUUGCGAACGGGUGAGUAACGCGUAGGUAACCUGCCUGGUAGCGGGGGAUAACUAUUGGAAACGAUAGCUAAUACCGCAUAAGAGUAGAUGUUGCAUGACAUUUGCUUAAAAGGUGCAAUUGCAUCACUACCAGAUGGACCUGCGUUGUAUUAGCUAGUUGGUGAGGUAACGGCUCACCAAGGCGACGAUACAUAGCCGACCUGAGAGGGUGAUCGGCCACACUGGGACUGAGACACGGCCCAGACUCCUACGGGAGGCAGCAGUAGGGAAUCUUCGGCAAUGGACGGAAGUCUGACCGAGCAACGCCGCGUGAGUGAAGAAGGUUUUCGGAUCGUAAAGCUCUGUUGUAAGAGAAGAACGAGUGUGAGAGUGGAAAGUUCACACUGUGACGGUAUCUUACCAGAAAGGGACGGCUAACUACGUGCCAGCAGCCGCGGUAAUACGUAGGUCCCGAGCGUUGCCCGGAUUUAUUGGGCGUAAAGCGAGCGCAGGCGGUUAGAUAAGUCUGAAGUUAAAGGCUGUGGCUUAACCAUAGUACGCUUUGGAAACUGUUUAACUUGAGUGCAAGAGGGGAGAGUGGAAUUCCAUGUGUAGCGGUGAAAUGCGUAGAUAUAUGGAGGAACACCGGUGGCGAAAGCGGCUCUCUGGCUUGUAACUGACGCUGAGGCUCGAAAGCGUGGGGAGCAAACAGG